UUUACUAUUCAUCGUCAAAAAGUCAAAAAUUUCAAAAACGUCUUAACGGACUCAGAUUUCACUUCCGAGUUCACCGUUCUCAUUCAAAUAAUUAUCUCGAAUUAUUCAAAUACUCAAACUCAAUUACGGAUAUAAAAUCCCACAUCAUCCAAACAUCAUCAAAAGAACAUCUCAACAUCUUUUAAAAAAAAAACAAGAAAACUUCAUAUAACUCCUCAUCUCUGUACAAGUAAUCAAACAAAGGAUACCCUAAUU
rnacentral:lncRNA from 1 species